rnacentral:tRNA from 1 species
AAAAUUUUAGUUUAAAUAAAAAUUUAAUAUUUACAAUAUUAAGAUAUAAUUAUAUAAAUUUUA